rnacentral:misc_RNA from 1 species
UGAAGUUAUUGGCAGUGUGACGGUUUCCAUCCCAUAUUUGCGGUGCAACAUCAGCCAACGUCCCCCUCUCUACCCACCACUGCCGCCACGGGCUUCUUUUUUUUUUUUUUUUUUUUUGGGAAAAAUUUUUUUUUUUGUUUUCCCCCCCCCCCCUUUCCUUCCUGCCGGUAUCUACCCAANNNNNNNAGGACAGUUGAGACGAAAAGCCCAGGGAGAACAGCUGUAGCGACCAACGAGAAAGGAAGAAGGAAAUAUUUUUACGCCCGGAAGCGCGACAUAACGAAGUUCCCAGAAUAAUU